GACGUAGGGCGCGAGCGUUGUCCGGAUUUAUUGGGCGUAAAGAGCUCGUAGGCGGCUUGUCGCGUCGACUGUGAAAACCCGCGGCUCAACUGUGGGCUUGCAGUCGAUACGGGCAGGCUGGAGUUCGGUAGGGGAGACUGGAAUUCCCUGUGUAGCGGUGAAAUGCGUAGAGAUGGGGGAGAACACUCGUGGCGAAGGCGGCCAGCUAGACCAGUUCUGACACUGAGGCGCGACUGCGUGGGGAGCAAACAGG
rnacentral:rRNA from 1 species